CUCUGAGUCUUUCCUGUAAAGGAUCUGGGUUUAACUUUGGUGAUUAUGGCAUGCAAUGGAUCAGACAACAAGCUGGAAAAGCUCUGGAAUGGAUUGGGGUUAUCUGGUAUGAUGCCAGUAAAACAAUAUACACCAAAGACAUUGAGGGAUGUUUGGAAAUUACCAGAGACAACUCCAAAAACAUGGUGUAUCUGCAGCUGACAGAUGUGUUCUGUGCUACUGAGCUCAUCCAGCCAGACUCACUGCUUAUAAAGCCAGGAGAGACUUUAACCAUCACCUGUAAAGUGUCUGGAGCUUCUAUCACUGAUAGCAGCCACUAUGGAACAGCUUGGAUUCGGCAACCUGCAGGAAAAGCUUUAGAAUGGAUCAACAAUAUUUAUUAUGAUGGGAGUAUUCAAAAGAAAGAUUCACUUAAAGACAAGUUUGUGGUCUCUCGAGACACUUCCAGUAACUCUGUGACCUUACGGGGACAGAACAUGCAGACUGAAGACACAGCUGUGUAUUACUGCGCUCGUGUAACACACAGUGACACAACAAGCUGCAGUGCUGCACAAAAACCUCAUCACAAUUCACUUCUUUAAUUAAAUAACAACUAC